rnacentral:rRNA from 1 species
UAAAAAAUUUGGUAGUAUUUUAGUCUAUUCAGAGGAACUUGUUCUGUAAUCGAUAGCCCACGAUGGACCUUACUUAAGUUUGUAUUCAGUUUAUAUACCGUCGUUAUUAGAAUAUUUUAUAAGAAUGUUAAUUUUCAUAAUUUUUAAAAAGAAAAUAUAUCAGAUCAAGGUGUAGCUUAUAUUUAAGUAGAAAUGAGUUACAAUAAAUUUAUUUAAAUGGAAAUUAAAUUUGAAAUAUUUAUUGAAGGUGGAUUUGAUAGUAAAUUUAUAAAGAUUAAUAAUUUGAUUUUAGCUCUAAAAUAUGCACACAUCGCCCGUCACUCUUACUUUAAAGUAAGAUAAGUCGUAACAUAGUAGAUGUACUGGAAAGUGUACCUAGAAUUUAAUUUAAAGCUUAUUAAGUAAAGUAUUUCAUUUACAUUGAAAAGAUUUUUGUGCAAAUCAAUAUAAAUUAAUUAAGUUUUAUUUAUUAAUUUUUUUUUAAAAAUAAUUUAUUAAAAAUAAUUAUAUAAUGUUUUGUUUUAGUAUAUUUUAAAUAAAAAAUAAUUUAAAUUAUAGUUUAAUAGUAUUGUGAAAGAAAAUUGAAAUAAUAUGAAAAAUUAUUAUUUAAAAAGAAAAUUUA